rnacentral:rRNA from 1 species
AAGUCUGGUGCCAGCAGCCGCGGUAAUUCCAGCUCCAAUAGCGUAUAUUAAAAUUGUUGCGUCUAAAAAGCUCGUAGUUUGAAAACUUGCCUUAGCUUACAACAGGUCCUUAACUGGGGCCGCCGUUUGUUGAGAGCAAAUAUCGAUGACUGUUUUUGCCGACUUCGUUGUUUGGCUUAUAAGAGUUAUCAAAUAUCACUUUGAUUAAAUUAGAGUGCUUAAAGCAAGUGUGUUACUUGGAUAUAAAUGCAUGGAAUGAUGGAAUAUGUUGUUGUUCUAUUUGUUGGUUUUUGAACGAUAAAAUGAUUGAAAGGAACUGUUGGGGGCAUUCGUAUUGUUGUGAGAGAGGUGAAAUUCUUAGACCACAGCAAGACGAACUACUGCGAAAGCAUUUGCCAAGAAUGUUUUCAUUGAUCAAGAACGAAAGUUAGAGGUUCGAAGGCGAUCAGAUACCGCCCUAGUUCUAACCAUAA